UGUGUGUGUGUGUGUGUGUGUGUGUGUGUGUGUGUGUGCUGUAGUACCCCUGGUAGAUGAUGGUUAAGAGCACUAGAAUAACUUGUUUAAUUCUUACAGUAUGUGUAUACACAAACUUGUUUUGACAUGUCUUAGACUGGUUUGUCAACUUUUGAGAACUGGGUCGUGUAUGGGAGGAGCCUAAUCAUUCAGUUUUGUCAUUCAGCAGCGUAUAGAGCAGCAGUCAUUUCAUCGUCCCAUUGUCUGAAUGAACCUCAGGUUGGAGACUCCUUCAAGGACAGCAAACCAUUUCCAGUUUACCAUAAUAUAUCAAGAAAGAAUGGGCAGGCAGGCAAACUCAUGAAAUGUGCUAAAUAUAGUUAAAUCAUGGUCACGAGACAAGGAUUGAAUCACUACUACUGAUUCUGAAUCACCAUGCACAGACAUUUUGGGAGGCAGGGGUAUCCAUCCCUCCAGGACCAGGACUGGACAUUGCUACACUAUUAUCAGGUUAUACCAAUUAAAUAAAAUCAGUACCUAUUAUCAAAAUCUAUUUAAUACACAGUUACAAUUGAAUAAUGUUAUGAGAUUAAUGUUAAAUAUAACAUUUUGAAUAUAGAAAUAUAAAACAAUUUGUGACAGCACGACAUAAAUAGAACGCGGUAAUAAAGAGCAUUGCUUACUAUAGCAUGUUUAAUUUUAUCACACAUCACACUGAUCUCAUACUGCAGAAAACUGACAAUGUGGUAAUAUAUCAUGGCGAGCUCCCCAAGCGCUCAUCAGCAUUGUCAUAAAGGUGGAGAGAAUCCAAUUGUCUGGGAAUAGAAGCCACCUAAGAGCAAUCAGGAAAAGAGGAUUUCCAUUUUCUUUAACACGGAAGUAAGCUUAUGGGCGAGACUUUCAGUUCAUUAACUGCUAUAGGGAAAUAACAAGAAGAAUAACAACGUGCAGUAAACAGUAAAACUGUUACCACUUCAAACCAGUGUGUUCAAAAAUAAAAUAAUACAUUAAAAUAAUAUGGUAAGACACACCUAUUUUCAAUAUCAAGCAGCAAAACAAACUGUUUUGUAGAGUUAAAAUAGCUGGACGUGGUUGAGAUCGGAAGCUAGACCCAUAAAAAGUACAAAUGGCUGCGCCCACUCUUAUGAGAAGAAAAAGGUGGAUAAACACAACAGAAAGAAGUUUUGGGGAGGCUAGAUCUCACAAGACCAGGCAAAUGGUAUCUCUUGUUCUUUUCUCCCGUUGGCUCCAGUGAUUACAAAGGAGUCCAGACCACAAGAU